rnacentral:lncRNA from 1 species
AUGUCUUCCUGGUUUGGUGGCCUUGACUCUGGCUUAAGCUGUUCCUUGGAGCAAGUGGGCAGCAAUGUGGCCACAUCUCAAGUGUGCUCAUAAAUGGCACAGAAAAGGGGAAGAGUUCCCUAACGGUGAGAUAAAGGAGACUGAAGCCAGUAUGAAAUUCUUAAUAUCAGAGAAUGAGGGACUUCAAAAUCUUUGUAGUGACCUCAGAGAUACGUAGGAAGCAUCAGAGCUUCAGAUAUGGCAGCAAACUACAAGUGAAAUGAGCGUUCCUAAAGCAACAAAGCAAGCAUUGCAGGAUCGGCUGCAGGACCGGCAGCGAGUCCUGAAGUCAACACAUUCAGGGAGGCCAGAGGUUCCCAUCCACACUGCAUCCCCUCCAUUCGGGUGGUACCCAUCAUGCUUCCGUGUUCCACGAUGAGUACAUGGGUUUUUGUGACAUAAUUUCAUCACAGCAAUAAAUAGAUAGUCCAAUGAAGUUUUAAAACACAAGUUUCCAGUUGGCCACUGAAGGCAUAUUGCUCAGACUUCUAAAGUAGAAGGAACAAUUAGCUUUGAUGAAAAUGAAAUCUACAAACUACAAACACCAGAUACCAUCCAGGAGCUCAAGCAAAAGAGAAGUCAGGAUACUGAUGACCAUCCCCUGCUCUGACAGCACUUGAGAACUAUCGAGGAAAAU